CUUAGAUGAUGAUCAGAUUACAUUUUAUGACCAAUUUGUGUAGAAAUCCAUAUCAUUCCAAAGGGUUCACAUACUUUUUCUUGCAACUGUAUAUUGUGAUCAUUUGGCCAAAUUUGUCUAUUAUAUUUCUUUUUCCCUUUUUACACUGAGGGAUAAAGUAAUGGAAAAGUGAUAUACUACUGUACUACUGCAACAUAUAUUGAUGUGGA